CACCGCGGUUAGACGAGAGGCCCAAGUUGAUAAGCAUCGGCGUAAAGCGUGGUUAAAAGACAAAAACACUAAGACCAAAUACUUUUAGCACUGUUAUACGUAUGCAAAAGCUAGAAACCCAGCUACGAAAGUGGUCUUACUCCUUUUCUUUUCUUCCCCCCCCCCAUUUUGAACCCACGAAAGCUGGGGCA
rnacentral:rRNA from 1 species